GGGGGACGGGGCGGGGCUAGUAGGGGCUGGGAGGGGGGCAUUCCCCGCCCCCAGCCGAGCCUGGGCAAAUCCCCUCGGACCAGCUCAGCGGCCCCGCCCCUGCCGGGGGCGGCGCUGGGAGGAGCUGCGUGUGCGGCGGGUCGGCGCUCCAGGGCUAAGGCCUCGGGAGAGUCUAGCUCAGGUUCUAGUUCCCGGGUAGUCUGAGGCCAGCUCUUGCCCUCCGGCUCCCGCUUCUCUCCCAUUGUGCCUGUCCUGGCUCACUGUCGGGACUGAGAUGGUGCCGCGUGCGCGCCAGGCUCGUGGGUCUGCCGCACCCUUCAGGCCCGCCGCACCCUCCAGGCUCGCAGCCCAGGGUUUCGUCAGAUUACGGCCUCCUCGCCCCUUCUGGGAAGGAGGCGCCUCAUGUCUGAA